UAUGAAUGAGAUGAUGGAUGA
rnacentral:siRNA from 1 species